rnacentral:miRNA from 1 species
AAAUAUAUAUAUAUAUGUACGUAU